GUGAGGGGAUUUAUCAUUGUGGUUUUGAUUUGCACUUUCCCAAUGAUUAAUAAUGUUGAGUAUCUUUUCAUGUGCUUGUUAGCCAUCUGUAUAUCUUCUUGGGAAAAUGUCUGUUCAGGCCUUCUAUCCCUUUUAUAAAUGGGUUUCUUGUUUUUUUUUUUGAUGUUGAGUUUAUGAGUUUUUUAAAAAUACGUUUUGGAUAUUAACCCCUUAUCGAAUAUAUUGUUUGCAAAUAUCUUCACCCAUUUGGCAAGUUGGUAGCUGUUUCAUUUUGUUACUAGUUUCCUUCAUUGUGCAAAACCUUUUUGGUCUGAUGUAGUCCCAUUUGGUUUUUUUUUUUAUUUUUAUUUUUUUGUUUGGCUUUUAUUUCCCUUGCCUGAGAAGAUAUAGCCAAAAAAAUAUUAACUGAUGUUUAAGAGUUUACUCCCUGUGCUUUCCUGUAGAAGUUUUAUGAUUCCAGGUCUUACAUUUCAGUCUUUAAUCCAUUUGGAGUUCAUUUUUGUAUAUGAUGUGAGAAAGUAGUCCAGUUUAAUUCUUUUGCAUGUAAUUUCCCCAAAACCAUUUGUUGAAGAUUGUCUUUCCCUCAUUAUAUACUCUUGCAUCCUGUACUGCAGUUUAACUGUCAUGUAAGUGUACUGUACUCUAUUGUGUUCUACUGAUUGUGUGUGUCUAUUUUUGUACCAGCACCAUACUGUUUUGAUUGUUAUGGUUUUGUAGUGUACUUAAAACCUGGUAGCAUGGUAUUUCCAUUUGUUGUUCUUUUUCAAGAUUUUGAUAUUUCAUGCCUUUUGUAGUUCCAUACAAAUUUUAGAAUUAUUUGUUCUAUUUCUGAAAAAUGACAUUGGUAUUCUGAUAGGGUUGCACUGAAUCCAUAGAUUGCCUUGGGUAGUAUGGUAACUUUAACAAUAUUAAUUCUAAUCCAUGGGCAUGGUACAAAUUUCCAUUUGUUCAUGUUAUCUUCAGUUUCUUUCAUCAAUGUCUUAUAGGUUUCAGGGUACAAGUCUUUUAACUCCUAUAUUCAUUCCUAGAUAUUUUAUCCUUUUGAUUCAAUUAUAAAUGGGUUUGGUUUCUUGAUUUAUCUUCCUCAUAGUUUGUUGUUAGUGUAUAUAAAUGCAACUGUUUUAUGUGUAUUUUUUAACCUCAUAGAAUUAAAUUAUUUCUUAAGUCUUAAAGGAGAUAGAAAUUUGAAAACAAUCACAUGUUUGUAAAUGGAAAAUUAUAAAAGUAUAUGGGAAGGGAACAAAGAAGUGGGGUAAAGCUCUAUUAAAGGAAUAAAUUAUAAGCACAUCCCUCUCAGGUCCCCAGAACUGUUUGCUCUAGCGAUGCCUCCUAUACAGGCUAUGCGCUUCCUUCUAUUGUGAUAGGUGCACUGGUAGACAGAACUGGCCCCUAGCCUAGUUGGUUGCCAGGCUCUGCAUUAUGUUGUGGCUAUUGGGCCACUGGUGGGUGAGUCUGGGUCCUGUGUGGCUGGCUACUCAGUCCAUGAGGUCGAGGACUGAUGCUGGCCUACUCGUGAAUAGAUAAGCUUUGGAAUUUUAUAGGCCAGAGGGAGGGCUGCAAAAUGGCCAUAGUUUGAACCUGUGUCCUUGUGCUAGAAAGGCUCCUCAAAUGGCUGCCAUAAUUGUCUAUGUUCCAGGGAAAGUCCCACUUGCAUCCUGCCUGUCUGGGAGGCUCUCCAAGAUCACAGUGGACUGAUCCAGGUUUCUUUCAAAUUACUGCCUCUGUUCUGCAGCCUAAAGUAUGUGAAAUUUUGUGCACACCUUUUAAGAGUGGAUUCUCUAUUUCUUACAGCCCUCUGGCUCUCUUGUAUGCAAGCCUGACUGGCUCUAGGGAGCUUCUUCUCUUAUUGAAAGCCUCCCAGGCUGGGGAGCUUUAUGUGGGACUCAGAUUCCUUGCUCCUUGGGGAAAACCUUUGCAAUUAUGAUUAUCCUGCUAAAUCCUACCAGGGGUAUGAGUCUUGACUAUACCACAUCUCUGCCUCUCCUACCUAUCUCAUUGUAAUAUCUUCUUUAUGUCUUUAGCUGUGGCAAAUAUUUUCUGCUGCUAGUCUUCAGAUCAUUCUCAUAAAUAAAUAUGCUCUUUAAAUAGUUGUGGUAUUAGGGUGCCUAUUGGAGGAAGUGAGCUCAGCGUCUUCUUGCUCUACCAUCUUGAUCACACCAUCCUAUGUAACAAUCUCAUAUCAUUGUUCUCUUCUCAAACCCCCAUGGACUGCUAUCUCUUCCCUCUUCCUUUUCUUCAUGACUUUGAUUCUAGGUUCAUUGAGAAAGUAGAACUUUUACAUACUUUCACCACAGCAUCUACCAAAAAACCACACUUUUCUUCCUUUAAUAUAGUUGUGCAUUCAUGAUUUUAUCAGAUGCUAGCCCUUCCCCUGGUGCACUGGAUCCAUCCUCUCUUACCUACUUGAUGGCUUGCCUCUAGCAAUUAAACUCACUCCUGAAUCCCUAAUAUAUCUGGACCCACCACUCACUCUCUCUCCUGGAUCUUUCCUAUCAGGAAAUAAGCAAGGUGUUAGAUGUUUCGUUUUCAAAAAUAAUCCUCCUUUAUCCCACACCCUCCUCCAGCUACCUCCUGUUUCUUUGCUUCCUGUAUAGCAAAAGUAUAUACUUGCUCCUAACUUUGUCUUCUUUGGAAAAGCAAUUUGAAAAUGAAACCAAGUAUUCAGUUUUAGUGGAUAUUGGGUGAAGUCAGGAAAUUACAUUAUAUGUUUUUAAGACUCCCUUGGUGAGUGUGUUCAGCAUUGCGAACUAUUAAUUUAAGCUUUUGUGUUAGGAACUAUUACUAACUAAAGAUGACCGUAAAUGAAAAUGAAACUCUCUGAUUUUACUGUCAAUACAACAAAGCAUUUUAUUUAUAAGACAUUUUUUAAUUUACCCGAAACAUGGUCAUGAUGGGAAAGGUAGUAUACCUAUUAUUUCCCUGUUUAUUUGACUGUCACAGAAAUCUGGAAUGAGUAAUGGGAAAUCUUACCAUUAACUUUGUCUCUAUAGGCUUAUACGUGCCUUUUCCAGCCUUGUUGAUGUGGGAAGCAGGCAGCAUAUGAGGUGGGAGGAAGAGGUUGAAAGGUUGUAGGACUACUUGCUAACCAUUUUCCAGACAUAGAUGAAUAAGAACCAUACAUAUUCUAGUAAAAUUUUCAUACUAUUUAACACCCUUUCUUUCAUGUGGUAGUUGUUCAGCACAUAUGUGUUGAAUAAAUAAAAAUAGGAAUCUGAUCAUGUCUACAGGCAUCUCCAUGCGUGCAAUUCCAGAAGCUCUUAAGAAGUUUAUGACAUCCAGCUAAAGAUGGCUAAAAAGAAGGAUAAAUCUUACACUCUAGUUCCUUAGUACAAUCAUUCAUCCAUUUAUUCACUCACCCAACAAAUAGUUAUUGAAAUAUUUUUCACAUGCCGGGCACUGGGAUUGGUGCAGUGGGUGCAGAUUUGGUGUCCAGUUAGAAGUUUUAUUCUAGUAUGAUUAUAAUCCAGGCAGAGUCUGAUCCACUGGUCUCUGGAUAUGUUGUUUUAUGAAAAUCAUUUCCUUGGUUGGUGCCUCAGUGUCUCCACAAGAAAAGAGUAUAUAUGUCCAUGGAUUGCAAUGAGGAUUACAUAAGGAAUCAUAAAAUACUGUUCAUACACCAUGAAGGAUAGCAUAAGCCUUACUUAUUACUGUAACCAUUCACCCACUGCAUUAAAAAAAAAGUAACUUAGAGAGAGCAAAUUGAAAGGCUAAGUUAAAUUGUUUUGCUGUCAAAUGAGGCUUGAAAAGUGCGAGUUGUCACUCUUUCCCUGUCAGAGGGGACGUUUUAGAUUUUCUCCAUGAAAGUUGAUUGUUGUGAAUAAAAGGCUUACUUCCUACUUGAACUAUCAAGUGCAAGGGCCAUUACCUGUUAUCAAUCAAGUGGGUCUUGCUAGGCUCAAAGUGCUAUGGGGCAGAGUGCCAUUGGGGUUCUUAAAACCUUAGCCGCUUUGCUGGAUGUAGAUAGCUCCCAAACAAAAUAAGCUGGUAAUCUAACACUGUCUUUAAUCAGUAGGUUUCUUUGGGUUGGGACAUUUCUCUGGUGUCCAGGUCCCAGUAGCAAAUCACUUAAUUAAAGUCCCCAAGAAAAUCAGAAACGCUAUGAACUACCACCAAAGGACCAUGGUUUUUUGUUCUUUUGUUUUCCUUUAAUGAACACUCUCAUGUUGUCUUCAGAGAGGUUGAUAACUUUAGAAAUUAAGAGGACCAUAGAGGUUAUCCAGGUAUAGGACUCCUAAAGGCCAGUCUUUAGCUCAGGCUUGGUCAUGACAGCAUUUACAUCCAUCUCAUCAGCUGAAUAUAUCCAUUUUAAAGGAUUAUCCCUUAUUCUUUCAUGAAAUGAGAGGUUGAAACUGAUAAUAGUGGGGUAAUUUUCACACACACACCCCACCUCCCCCACACAUAUAGUCUUUGAAAUCACAGAUUCUGGGAAUCAGCUUUAUGAAGGGGGGAAAUAAAACUCUGUUGAAACUCAAGUGAUAGGAUUUCGCUAAAAUGACGUAGUUCUAGUUUAAAGCACAGGUGUCAACCUCAGAUCUACUGACGAAUAGUUUAGUUCUGACUUGCAUGUAAUGAGAGAAGUGGUUUUCACAUGUUAGAGACCUUGCCACUUUCAGAGAAAUUUGGCUAAUGCAGAGCCAGUGUGACUUGCUGUUGUCUUGUAUUUUGGCUGAAGGACCGUUUCUGUAUACCAUCAGUGCCCCUGCCUUUGCCACUCAUUCACCCUUUAAAAAAAGCCCUCAACAUUACCAAGAAGGGCUUUACAGCAUAUAGGGAGGAAAUUGUGAUGUGUUAGGUCUUGGGCUCAAUUCUGCUUUGUUAUUGGCAAUGUCACGUAAUAUCUUGAACUAAUCUCGUUAUCUGUAAAGCCCUUCUCUACCUGCUAAGUUUCAUCCAAGGUUAAAAAGAAAAUACACAGAUGAAAAUGCUUGGUGAAUUGUAUUAUGUUUAAUAGGUUGAAAAAAUGUUAUUUAUGGUAAAAACUAAAAGUUGCUGCCUUUCAUUUGACAAUAGGCCUACCCCUUAUGGGUGGUAGAAAGACUCACGUUGUGUGUGGAUCGAUGUUGGCAGGAGAAAGAGGAGACUGUACUUGUAGGAACCUCAGAGCAAGCGCCUCCUUAAGUUUUAUAUUUUAGGCAUCUUCUUGCCUCACCCUGUUCCCGGCCCUGAGUUUUCUUGGUUGAUAUGGUUCUCUCUCAUCAACAGAGGGCAAGUCCCAGAGAGGACUUCAGCUCAGAGCAUCAACUGCCAACAUUUCUAGAAGAUGAGGGAAUGUGUGCCGUAGUCCUGGAAGGGGGGUCUGAGCCACACACAACAGCACUAAACCACCAUGGAGAGGUUUUGGCAAUCUUUUCUGAAGUUAAGAUACACCUACUCCAUGACCUGUAUGUCCUGUCUGCAUGAUGAAAAGUGUCGUAGAGAGUUCUUGAGUCUGAAGGCCAAUGAUAUCAGAUGGAAAGUGGGAUCUACAACAUGAAAGAACGGCGUUGGAAAUGAUAAAUAUAUGGGGGAAGGCAGUGAUUGUGUCAAACAGCCGUAUGGAGAGGUCUGCAUAGGGAAGAACUGAAGUCUACCAAAACCCACAGGAAUAAUCUUGGAUGUGGACACUCUAUCCCCAGGUGAAAGAUUUCUGUCCUCAAAAUAGAUUACACAAUGUUCCAUCAGAUACUGUAACAUCCCCUGAGGAUUUUCAUGCCUUUAUAAUCUCAUCUGAAGACUAAAAGAACCCUAGCCACUACCAAGUUCUUUAUGAAAAGUCGUGGGUAGAAAUGAAGGAUGGAUUUAAAAAAAUAAUUAAAUAAAACACGAAGAUGUAAGCUCAGCUUCUACAUAAUGGAUCAUGAGGUGAGUCCUUCUCAGCUGUGGACCAGACAUCAAGCAUCACUGGAGGGCAAUUCUCACUUUUCUUUGACAACGAUCACGUUUCCUUUUCCAGAUGACAUCUGCCUAGUAUGUAAUUGGUGACCACAUCCAAGUAAACAUGUGGAAAAUGAGAGCAAGUGGGUGUGUGAGCUCGAAGGGAAUGGCUUAUUUGGGGGAUGAUGGAAGGGCGCAAAUCUGGAAGGAGUUCAGUUCUAUGAGUACCAAGGAAAGGCCGUGUGAGGACAUAGUGAAGAGGUAGCUGUCCACAAACCAAGAGGGUGCUCACCAGGAACUUAAUUUGCCAGCACCUUGAUUCUGGAUUCCCCAGUCUCCAGAAAUAGAAGAAACAUGAUGUACCAGCAAAACUUUAGUCUGCAAAGGAUCAUGAGCCAAUAAGCUGCAAUUGUUGCUUUGAAAAGGCAGAAGCAAAAGAAGAGUUGAUGGAGAUACCAGGCAUGAAAGGGUCGUGAGAUAAAGGACACUUCUGGCUCAGAUAUUCUUGGGGUCCACGGUGGUACCAAGAUUGCUCUGGUUUACCUGCUUUCAGAGCCAGCCACCCCUUUCUUGGUCUCUGGAUAUUUCUCAAGUGUUUCCUUGUCCUCUCUUGCUGCCAUGACAACCCAGGCCCUGACUUGAGAAGACCUUUCUCCAUGUGAAUAAACAUGUUGAUGGAGCAUCAACCCAAAUGUCCACUGAUAGAUGAUUGGAUCAGGAACAUGUGGUAUAUAUACA